UACGUAGGGUCCGAGCGUUGUCCGGAAUUAUUGGGCGUAAAGAGCUCGUAGGCGGUCUGUCGCGUCGGCUGUGAAAACCUGGGGCUCAACUCCAGGCCUGCAGUCGAUACGGGCAGACUAGAGUUCGGUAGGGGAGACUGGAAUUCCUGGUGUAGCGGUGAAAUGCGCAGAUAUCAGGAGGAACACCGGUGGCGAAGGCGGGUCUCUGGGCCGAUACUGACGCUGAGAAGCGAAAGCAUGGGGAGCGAACAGG
rnacentral:rRNA from 1 species